rnacentral:rRNA from 1 species
CCUACGGGUGGCUGCAGUGGGGAAUAUUGGACAAUGGGGGCAACCCUGAUCCAGCCAUGCCGCGUGUGUGAAGAAGGCCCUUGGGUUGUAAAGCACUUUCAGUGAGGAAGAACGCCUGGUGGUUAAUACCCAUCAGGAAAGACAUCACUCACAGAAGAAGCACCGGCUAACUCCGUGCCAGCAGCCGCGGUAAUACGGAGGGUGCGAGCGUUAAUCGGAAUUACUGGGCGUAAAGCGCGCGUAGGUGGCUUGAUAAGCCGGUUGUGAAAGCCCCGGGCUCAACCUGGGAACGGCAUCCGGAACUGUCAAGCUAGAGUGCAGGAGAGGAAGGUAGAAUUCCCGGUGUAGCGGUGAAAUGCGUAGAGAUCGGGAGGAAUACCAGUGGCGAAGGCGGCCUUCUGGACUGACACUGACACUGAGGUGCGAAAGCGUGGGUAGCAAACAGGAUUAGAUACCCGAGUAGUC